rnacentral:misc_RNA from 1 species
CAAAUUCAAUUGAAUAUACACAGAUAAAUUUUGAUUUAGGGAAUGAGAAUCAAACAAAUUCUUCAAGAAUGUACUGCUGAAUAUAUAUGAUAUUAGAUUUCACUAUUGCAAAUAUGUAGUUAUUGAUCUCUAAUCGACAUAAGCAAUAGUAGCAUUACCAUAUUCUCUACACAUUCUCCCUAUGCAAAGGUGUAGUGAUGGGAUUCUCCAUGACCUGUGUAGUUUGCUUGGGAGGCACUGAAAAAAAAGCUACAAUCAUAGGCUUAACCUUCUCUGUAGUCUUGAUAAUACCCAAGAAUAGAAGCCUGUAAAGAAUAACCAUUCCUAAUAAAACGGCAAGAUCAACCCACUUAGAGUAACUCAAAUCCACUUGCCAUAUAUUCCUCAAAAUUUCUUCACCACCAAUGGUUGGUGAACCUUCCAGGCGUCCAGCUUGAUUAUUAGUAGCAAAGGUUAGACCUUCAAAUUCAUUUUUGAACAUGCCCUGGUAAGCAUACCUAUGGAAAGAAAUAUAGUACAUUGGGUAUUUCCAAAUUGGCCCCGGAAGGUCAUUUGGCAACCUGAAGAAUCCUCCACCUAAAAUCAUGAGUCCUUGAAUCCCAGAUCCAGUUAUAAUACCCAUCAGAAAAUUAGGUACAAUGCUUGCAACAGUCAUCAUCAAGCUCUCAACUAGCAUCAAACAAGCGAAUAAUGCGAUAAUAAAAAAUAGGAAGUGUUCAAAUCCCUUGUGAAGCCCUGGAAAGUAGUAAGUUAUAGCUCCAGGAAUUAGUGAUACUAGCAGCAAGUACGGUAUAGAAGAGAAUGUGUUGGCAAGGACAAAUGCAGCUGCUCCAUAAUGCCCAUUUAAUCUUUCUCGUUCAAAUACCUGAAUUUACGAGGAGAAGAACACAUUUAAUGAAUAGUCUUUUUUUUUUAAUUAGAGGAUGAAAGCGAAAUAGUAGAUUCGAACUUGAAAUUUUGUGUAAAUUAUAAUUAGAUCCUUGAAGUUUAACAAAAUUCAUAAGUUAGUUCUCGGUGUAAAUUUAAUAACAAUUUAAUUGUCCUUAAAUUUUAUUUUCAUUAACAAAUUGGUUCUCACAUUUUAUAUAUAUAUAUUAACAAAUUGGUCACUAUGUACAGUAAAUUUAAAGAACCAAUUUGUUAAUAGAAAUAAAAUGUGAGGAUCAAUUUAUUAACGGAAAGAAAAUUUAAUGAUCAAAUUAUUAUUAAAUUUACAUUAAGGCCUUACACACAAAACAAAGACCUAGAACUGGAAAAAAUGGGUUAGGAUCUACAUCCCCAACCAGUUUGCUAUCGCCAGAAUGAAAACCUCACCACCUACAGAGAGAACCAUCAAUAACCAGCAAGAAGAACAAUGGACCACUCAAAAAGCACAAUCAUAGGGGAGUUUCACUGAAAAAGAUGGAAUGCAUACCAUCAUAUGCAAAAUAGAACUAAGCCCGCAAAUAAAGAAAUCCGAUUUUGGUCGCAACCACUUCUGCCGGAGGAACUAAGGACCAAAGAGAUCUGCAAACCCGCACCAAAUGAACUCCAAAAUUACACACACCCAAAUAUGGGAAGAGGAGAGGAAAUAUCUACCUUCCUGGCUAGGAAAUAGCCAUCCCCAGCCCCCAAGGGUUGGGAAUGGCCACUGAUCGGAUGAAAAAGGACAAUUGAGAAGGGAGAGAGUUUUUCUCUCACUUACAAGGCAGACAGAGCUCCCACUUCAUGUUUCUAUCAAAUAAGAGGCUAUGGCUAAACUAAUAAGGUACGCAUGCAAUAAAAAUGUCCUAUUAGAUGUUAAAAUUUUAAAUGCAAGACAACAAAAAUUAACGUAGUAAUGAAUGUACCUUCAUGUCCUCCACAAAAGAAGGGAAUCCACCAAUAGUCAUGAACGUUAAGAAAGUAGAAAUAAACAUUAGCAGUGAGCCUCUGUCCUGCAAUAAUGGAUUCCACAAUUAAUGGUUAAUGCAUGUUUCCAUGUCAUCUUAAUAAUUUUACUGCAAUAUAAUCAAAUUUCCUUUCUUAAUAUUCUUGAGCUAAACACACUCUUUCUCUCUUACAUUGAUUGAAUUAUAACCAAAUCCAAUGUCUGAAAACACAGUAGCAAGACUUAUAGCCAAGGACACAUAGAUAACUAGACGCAGCCAGUAAUAGCCUAGGUCUCGAUACAUGUUUACAAAAGAUCUUCUUGUAAGGAUGAGACUCUGAGUGAGGAAGCUAGCCCGAGUUCUUCCCUUCUCCAGUGCUCCAGAAUCCUGCACCCAUUAGUUUUAUAUAUGUUUAAUCCUCAUUUCAUAUCCAUACUAUUACCGGAUACAAAGAAAAUUGUGAAGCAGAGCUGAACUCAGCUGAAGUAAUUUCCCCGGUUUUAUUUCUUAUCACGUACUAUACAAAUGUUGUGGUUGUUUGCUCACUUGUUUGCAUAUUUCAUGAACUAGUCUUUGAACUUGUUGAUAAUUGAUAGAUGAUUUGUAUGACUUUAUAAGGGUAGUAAUUGCUUCCUCCGUGCUCAUUGCCUUACCAUUACCUUGUUCAAGAUCCUUCUCAAAAUCUUUGUUUAUGGUUUUCAGAAAAUGAUCAGAUGGGUUCUGGAGAGUAGGGCAAGGGAAGCCAUUAAAAGCAAAAAACUCAUUUGCUGCAGAAGCUGGGCCAAAAUAUAUCACUUUACCAGAAGAAAGAAGGCAAAGGGUAUUAAAUAGCUGAAAGACUUCACUGCUAGGCUGAUGAAUGGAUGCAAUGAUAGUUCUUCUAAUCCUAUCUUUCUGUUUCAAAGUUGCAAUUCUGCUCAUGACAUAAUAUGAAGCUGCACUAUCAAGCCCACUUGUAGGUUCAUCAAGGAAGAGAAGUUUUGGGUGUGUUAGGAUCUCUAUACAAAUGCUAACUCUCCUCUUUUGCCCACCACUAAGGCCCUUGCUGCCCCAUCCUCCUAUUCUCGUAUCAAUGGAGUCUUGUAACCCCAUCUCCUUUAUUGUCAUCUCUGCUCUUUCUUUCUUCUCUGUCAAUGACAUGGAAUUGGGCAGUUGGAGUAGUGCAGAGUAGAACACUGCUUCUCUCACUGUUAGUGUCCAUGUUAUUACAUCAUCUUGAGAUACAUAUGCCGAUGUCCCAUAGGCCAAAUUUUGUUUAUGACCAUUGAUCAGAACUUGUCCAGUUUGUUUGGUGCUGGAAUCCAACCUCCCUGCUAAAGCAUCAAGAAGAGUAGUUUUGCCACAACCAGAAGGACCCAUGAUGGCCAAAAUCUCUCCAGGUUGAGCAUACCCUGUGAAACCUUGAAGAAUCCAUUUGCAGCUAUGUUUCUUACUUGGAACAGUCACGCCAAGUUCCUCCCAUGUCAGGAAAAUAUCAUUUCGGUGAUUCCAACAGCUCAUACCAGCAUGACCCUUGUCCACGUCCGGUGAGUGCUGGACAGUUUCAGGUUCAGCACCUAAAGACACCACGACAUUGUUGCUGUUUUCAGAUUGGUUCAGUACCUGUGGUUGCAAACAGGGUGGAGAAGCCAUGCAAAUCAUUGAUUGUGGAGAACUUUGGAGAGAGAGAGAGAGAG